rnacentral:rRNA from 1 species
UACGUAGGGGGCUAGCGUUGUCCGGAAUCAUUGGGCGUAAAGAGCGUGUAGGCGGCCCGGUAAGUCCGCUGUGAAAGUCGGGGGCUCAACCCUCGAAUGCCGGUGGAUACUGUCGGGCUAGAGUGCGGAAGAGGCGAGUGGAAUUCCUGGUGUAGCAGUGAAAUGCGCAGAUAUCAGGAGGAACACCGAUUGCGAAGGCAGGUCUCUGGGCUGACACUGACGCUCAUGCACGAAAGCGUGGGGAGCAAACAGG